UGGCGGACGGGUGAGUAACACGUGAGCAACCUGCCUUUCAGAGGGGGAUAACGGCUGGAAACGGUCGCUAAUACCGCAUGACGUGUUCGGAUGGCAUCAUCUGAACAUCAAAGAUUUAUCGCUGAAAGAUGGGCUCGCGUCUGAUUAGAUAGUUGGUGGGGUAACGGCCUACCAAGUCUACGAUCAGUAGCCGGACUGAGAGGUUGAACGGCCACAUUGGGACUGAGAUACGGCCCAGACUCCUACGGGAGGCAGCAGUGGGGAAUAUUGCACAAUGGGGGAAACCCUGAUGCAGCAACGCCGCGUGAAGGAUGACGGUUUUCGGAUUGUAAACUUCUUUUCUUAGUGACGAAGACAGUGACGGUAGCUAAGGAAUAAGCAUCGGCUAACUACGUGCCAGCAGCCGCGGUAAUACGUAGGAUACAAGCGUUAUCCGGAUUUACUGGGUGUAAAGGGAGCGCAGGCGGGACUGCAAGUUGGAUGUGAAAUACCGUGGCUUAACCACGGAACUGCAUCCAAAACUGUAGUUCUUGAGUGAAGUAGAGGCAAGCGGAAUUCCGAGUGUAGCGGUGAAAUGCGUAGAUAUUCGGAGGAACACCAGUGGCGAAGGCGGCUUGCUGGGCUUUAACUGACGCUGAGGCUCGAAAGUGUGGGGAGCAAACAGGAUUAGAUACCCUGGUAGUCCACACUGUAAACGAUGAUAGCUAGGUGUGGGGGGUCUGACCCCUU
rnacentral:rRNA from 1 species